rnacentral:rRNA from 1 species
AUUGAACGCUGGCGGCAUGCUUUACACAUGCAAGUCGAACGGUAACAGGCCGCAAGGUGCUGACGAGUGGCGAACGGGUGAGUAAUGCAUCGGAACGUGCCCAGUCGUGGGGGAUAACGCAGCGAAAGCUGCGCUAAUACCGCAUACGAUCUAUGGAUGAAAGCGGGGGACCGUAAGGCCUCGCGCGAUUGGAGCGGCCGAUGUCAGAUUAGGUAGUUGGUGGGGUAAAGGCUCACCAAGCCAACGAUCUGUAGCUGGUCUGAGAGGACGACCAGCCACACUGGGACUGAGACACGGCCCAGACUCCUACGGGAGGCAGCAGUGGGGAAUUUUGGACAAUGGGCGCAAGCCUGAUCCAGCAAUGCCGCGUGCAGGAAGAAGGCCUUCGGGUUGUAAACUGCUUUUGUACGGAACGAAACGGUCUGGGUUAAUACCCUGGGCUAAUGACGGUACCGUAAGAAUAAGCACCGGCUAACUACGUGCCAGCAGCCGCAGUAAGAC